rnacentral:lncRNA from 1 species
CGUUAUUCCCAACUCAACUCGGCUCCCGACACAGCCUGAGCCAGUCUACCUCGGCUGCUGAAUCGUCCUUGGACUCACCUUCACACUCACAAUCUUCGGUGCCUUCUCUGAGUACCUCUGUUUCUCAAUCAUGGCUCCACCCUUUUUCCAUUUCAACGUUCCAAGCGAAACCAAGUCCUUGCAAAAAUCUCUCUCUUCCAUCUCCUCUGUAAAAUACAAACAGAAACCAAAGAGUGAGUUACUGAGUUCACUCGGAUAACAAAGUUCUAUUUUUUCCUUGAAAGGAUAAUAACAUCUGCAUCCCUACGUUUUCAUGAUAUCUCAAAAAUACGGUGGAUAUCUCAAUAGGUGCUACACCGAUUCACGGCUUUUAGGUAUCUAUUUAAUACAAACGCAAAACUAUGACCUUUACUUCAGAAAUGUAAAAGAUCAAGAGGCUGGAUGUUGUUAGCACAGUUUCUUAAUAAGAACUUCACCUUG